UGUGACAUCGUCAAAUUCGGCCAU
rnacentral:miRNA from 1 species